UCCGGUUUGGCACCGGCAGUCUUCGAUGAGUCCCCGGCAUUACCCGCUGGUAACAUAGGGCAAGGGUUGCGCUCGUUGCGGGACUUAACCCAACAUUUCACAACACGAGCUGACGACAGCCAUGCAGCACCUGUCACUCGGCUCCCGAAGGCACUCCGCCGUCUCCGGCAGAUUCCGAGGAUGUCAAGGGUAGGUAAGGUUCUUCGCGUUGCAUCGAAUUAAACCACAUGCUCCACCGCUUGUGCGGGCCCCCGUCAAUUCCUUUGAGUUUUAGCCUUGCGGCCGUACUCCCCAGGCGGGGUGCUUAAUGCGUUAGCUUCGGCACGGAAAGGGUCAAUACUCCCCACACCUAGCACCCAACGUUUACGGCUGGGACUAC
rnacentral:misc_RNA from 1 species